UACGAAGGGUGCUAGCGUUGUUCGGAAUUACUGGGCGUAAAGCGCGCGCAGGCGGUCCUGCAAGUUGGGAGUGAAAUCCCCAGGCUCAACCUGGGAAUUGCUCUUGAUACUACAGGGCUGGAGUAUGGGAGAGGAUAGCGGAAUUCCGAAUGUAGAGGUGAAAUUCGUAGAUAUUCGGAGGAACACCAGUGGCGGAGGCGGCUAUCUGGCCCAUUACUGACGCUGAGGCGCGAAAGCGUGGGGAUCAAACAGG
rnacentral:rRNA from 1 species